AGCCCAGAGCCUGAAUCAGUGUGUGUGUUAGUGGAAGCGUCUGGAAAGGCGCGCGAUACAGGGUGACAGCCCCGUACACAAAAAUGCACAUGCUGUGAGCUCGAUGAGUAGGGCGGGACACGUGGUAUCCUGUCUGAAUAUGGGGGGACCAUCCUCCAAGGCUAAAUACUCCUGACUGACCGAUAGUGAACCAGUACCGUGAGGGAAAGGCGAAAAGAACCCCGGCGAGGGGAGUGAAAAAGAACCUGAAACCGUGUACGUACAAGCAGUGGGAGCACGCUUAGGCGUGUGACUGCGUACCUUUUGUAUAAUGGGUCAGCGACUUAUAUUCUGUAGCAAGGUUAACCGAAUAGGGGAGCCGAAGGGAAACCGAGUCUUAACUGGGCGUUAAGUUGCAGGGUAUAGACCCGAAACCCGGUGAUCUAGCCAUGGGCAGGUUGAAGGUUGGGUAACACUAACUGGAGGACCGAACCGACUAAUGUUGAAAAAUUAGCGGAUGACUUGUGGCUGGGGGUGAAAGGCCAAUCAAACCGGGAGAUAGCUGGUUCUCCCCGAAAGCUAUUUAGGUAGCGCCUCGUGAAUUCAUCUCCGGGGGUAGAGCACUGUUUCGGCAAGGGGGUCAUCCCGACUUACCAACCCGAUGCAAACUGCGAAUACCGGAGAAUGUUAUCACGGGAGACACACGGCGGGUGCUAACGUCCGUCGUGAAGAGGGAAACAACCCAGACCGCCAGCUAAGGUCCCAAAGUCAUGGUUAAGUGGGAAACGAUGUGGGAAGGCCCAGACAGCCAGGAUGUUGGCUUAGAAGCAGCCAUCAUUUAAAGAAAGCGUAAUAGCUCACUGGUCGAGUCGGCC
rnacentral:rRNA from 1 species